rnacentral:sRNA from 1 species
AAGCAUCGAUGCCACGACGCCAGGCAGU